CUUGUUCUCCAGGCCGGCAAUCAAGCAGCAGACAGAGCUCCUUUUCUCCCGCCUCUCAGCUGAUCGGCGGGUGGGCGGGGCUUCCACGGAGGUCUGGUGUAGGCCUCUGUGAAGCCUGAACUCGAGUAGGGCCCAAGCCAGCCAGGAAGGAGGAGGCAGCCAGAGAGGCCUCCACUGUUCUCUGCAGCAGAAGGCCCCCUGCUGCCAGGGUCGACUCACUGCUGAUUAUUCCCAUGGAAACUUGAAACAUUUUCUUCUUUAGGUUCUGCAUCAAUUAAGAGUUAAUAGUACUAGUCUCCAAGUCCACGUGAUCUUGAAGAGAACCUCUGUACUCAGCAGAGCAGCAUGAACUGUCAACCAGAAAGGGUGGAGGAUACUCCUUGAAAGAAAGGAGACAUGGGGAACUUUGCUACCCAGAGGUGGUGUAAUCUUCCAGCAGGAAAUGAACCACAAGCUUCCAUGUUUCAAUGAAACAGUCUUUAAGAGAUGAGAUGAAGACAGGUCUAUCCAUCUAGCAAGACAGACAUGAUCAUCAGAAAACAACAAACAAUCCAGAGAUAUCACUUUCAUACCAAAUGGAAGAAAGAAAGGCUAGCUUGGCAUAAGGAAAGCUCCCAUAAUACCUUGGAAUGACAUUACAAAUAAAGGACCGGGGAAAACUGGAUGCUGAACUAGAUGGAUCUUCUUGUGUUCUUAAACAUCAAGUACCCAGUUUCAUCUCAACAAUGGGAAGUCGUGAUGGUAGAGGAAUAUCACACAUCUGGAGAUUGGGUGCGCAGAAAAACCUUGAGCAGGCAACAUAAACAAUUAUCUAUCACGAAUUGUACUUGUGGCAGAAGUCCCUCACACCAAUGGAUUGAGUUGGAGAGAUGGCACUAAAUGUUGCUCAUGAACAUUUCAAAUGCUUGGAGAAGAGAUCUGUAAGAAUGUUUGCAGUCCCUAUCUAGCUUCUGUGAAGGAAGGCAAAGUGAUUGGUUUUGGCUGGGAUUAAAAUUUCAAACAGAACCUAAGGUUACAUGCAAGUUGUGGAAAACAGCAAAAAACAACAACCAGGAAACAUCCAAUGCAAAAGCAAUGAGAAAGUCUUAAGACACUGGAAAUUGUGUGCAAGCUUCUUUAUUGGUUUAAAAAUAAUGUGCCCAAUGUGUUUCAGCUGUAAGCUUUUUGCAGGAGCAUUUAUCCAGUAAUCUUGUAAGAGAUCUUUGUUUAAAAAGAGGACUUCUUCCUUACUACACUCUCUGCAGAGAGACUGCCCCUGAAGAAAGCUUACAGCCGAAAUGCAUUGGGCACAUUUUUGCUACACCAAUAAAGAAGUUCACACACAGUUUCCAUCAAGGUAAGUUGUGGAGCAGCUUGAGGACUGGAAAGAGGUUCCAGGUGAUAGAAGCAGGAAGCCCAAAGGCAGAGUGGCUGAAAAAGGAUCCAGACUAGGAAUUGACUGAGAAAAAGUAAAGUGAUGGGAGGGUAGAUGAAAGGGAAAGGUGAAAUAUAAGGAAUUGAGACUCGUGAGAGGGAGCUGUGGGGAAAAACCUUCACAGUGCUUAUAAGAUCAAGCUAUAAACAGGGAUGGGAAAUACCAAAAGAUAAGAUGGCUAAACAAAAUGGGACAAGAUAGGCAGUGGGAUGGCUGGCCUUAUUGGUAGGAAGCAAGUGCACAGGCAUGAAAGCUUUGCAGGGCAAGAGAUCCCAAGUCAAGAAUACAUAGGGCUACCAUAUACAGACCCUGUCAGGGCUGUUAUGAGUUGCAUAGAAGCAGAAUUCUGUCUUCUAAUGUCACAGCAGCACCAUGAUCUGGCAAACUCAAAGGGACUGCUAAGAAGCUCUGUGUACACGUACGUACGUACGUACGUACAUGCGCGCGCGCACACACACACUGAUUAAACACACUGGCUGACAUCCAGACUAAUGAAGCAGGUGCACUUCAAGGGACGGGUUAUAAUCUAACAUUGAAAUUCUGCUGCUUCCAAAUACACGUCUACUCAUUUUCCUCCAUAAACUCUUUAUCUUAAGGGACUCCACUUUUGUGCAAUUUCAUGCAACGCCCUCAGUGCUCCUGCAUGUGCCACAGUCCUUGGGAGUUUGGCGCACUCACCACAUGCUCUGGAAGGGCUCUGCGCAAUCAGACAUGUUGCUGAGGGUCAGCGAUGUGCUUCUAGUCUUGCAAAACCCUUCUGGAGCAACAGGGAGCCCUUGGGAUGCUAAGGGCUGCAGCACAAUAUGGGACUGGGAGAGUUGUGCAAGGGCUCCCAGCACAUCCCCACAUUUACUCAAAGAGCACCUGCUUCAUUAGUCAGGAUGUCAGCCAGUCUAUUUUUUGGUUGUAGGCUUCAACGGUAUUAUUUUUUAUUAUUAUUAUUAUUAUUAUUAUUAUUAUUAUGCCAGCUGCUCUUUCUACAAGGAUCUCGAGUUUAGAAACAGUAUGGUUCCCAGGUGAUUUCUCAUCCAAGCAGCUUAAAAGGAUCCUGCUUAGCUUUGGGAGUCGAACUGCCUCACAUGCCUUCAGACCUCCCUCUGGAAAGUACAUUGGGGCCAGCACUAGUUCCCAAGAGGAAUAGCAAGCUCCAUGAACAAUCUAAAAGUUUAUAUUAUGCAUUCAUCAAGCAUGAUGAAUGCAUAAUAUUACAGCCUCCCCCCAAAAAAAGUCAGACAGUUGAGUCAAGACAUCUGGGGCCAUUCAAAAAGUAAUUUGCUCUUGUACUAGAACAACAACAAAUGGUGGCGGGCAGGGAGGAGGAGGAGAGACUUAAGUGUGUUGCUUCUUGCAAUAAUAUUUACUGAUUUAGACAACACAUCUUUCUAAAUUGCUAGCUCAGCAACCGAUUUUCAAGACUUGCCUUAGGCACACGGCUGAAUACUGAAUAGAGAUGGACUGUGAAAUAGUACCAAUUCCUCAGUCCAAUUAAAGCCUCUCUCUAUUGCCACAGUGUCUAUUAAACCAUAGCUCUUUCCAAGCACCACCAAGAUCAAUUGAGACUCUUCUGUAGCGCUCAGGGCAGCAACAGAUUUUAUACAUAUUAAUCUUUUGGAGUUGGGAUGUAAGCGGAAAACUGCCUAAUACUUGUCAUAUGACCUCCACCUGCCUUGCUGAAUAGCUCCAAAACAACUGUAUCAAGCUGAUUUAAAUAAAAUAUGGAAACCUGUCCUAUCACUCUGCUGGCCGUAUACACAGGACCAUUGAACCGAGAUCUAUAUUUUCUUAGUCUUUAGAAAUGGUGAACCAGAAUCUCAGCUUUUUGCUUCCUGCAGACAUUGUGGCAAGGGUGGUGGUGUUGAGAUGUUCUGAAUUUCAAAGAAAUACAUACAGUAUUCAGGAAUUCCUAAAAGUGGAGAAGGAGAAAGAUGCCUUGACACAGGUCAUCACUCCCUUGUCAGCUGGCUGCCUUGACACUUUCUUCCAAAAAAACAAAUAUUCAAGAGUUUGCUGUGUCUAGUAUACAUGAAAAUACAUGUGGCUGCUGCUAAUAGCAUCUCGCUUUUCUUAAAUUGCUAAGAGUCAUUAUCUAUCUGAGCAUCUCAAUGUUUAAGGAUUUUUAUUUCCUUUUUGAUCUCCUGCAAAUCUUUCUCCAUAGGAGGCAGACAUGCUGCUUUUAACCUCCAGGGUGUUCAUAUAAACAGCAGCUUAUAAAACCACAGCAGUUCUGCCUGAAGUGAAAAGAUAUGGCAGAUUGGAAUUAACAUGCUGACAGGCACAAAGAAUGUUGCGCUUCUAUACUGUUCCACAAGGGUCAUUACUAUUAUCUCAUCCCUCCCAGUUGGCAAAAACAGGAGUGAGAGAGACGUCAAGACUGGAUAUAUCACAUGUCUCACGGUUGCGGUAAAAAGAAACCACUACCAAUAGAAGUCUUCACUGAGGCAGAGGGCAUACUAACCAUGUUAAAGGUGUGAUAUGCAGUGCACGAGAAAGGCCAGGUCCAAGAAAAGGAAGCAGGUCAGUGGUUAGAAGAGAAAAAGCUACCAUUACAUCCACAGUGUUCACAGACUCACUGUUAGACAGCAAGUACCUUAAUGAAUGUUUCCAUAUUGCCGUUAAAGAGCUUAUGAUUAUAGACUGAGAGAGGCCUAGGUCUCCUCAUUUUCUGUGGUUUAGGGGGAAGACAUGGGGGCCUGAGAAAAAUGGAACAAAAGAGAUCAACAAAACAACAACGUGAAUUCAAUGGAAGGGAAAUAUUUCAAAGACUAUAAAAUAAAUACACCGGGGGUGGGGGGAACGGCCUCUAAAUGUACUGGGGCCAAACAUAUUUUGUGGCCAUUAUCACCUUCUGUCUGGCAUUUUAAAUACUGAAAGAAAUUUGUGACAGGGACUCACCUGGACUUCAUAGGCAGACUAGCAGCAACCCACUCUGACAGGAGAGGGGAGGAUACCAUACAGAUUGCUGAGAAGCACCAUGGGCAUGAGAUCAGGUUGGGGAUAGGUAGGUAGGCACGCAGCAGCAUACCCAUAUUUGUGGCUUCUAGUAUGACCAGGCGAUUGUAUAUAUAUAUAUAUAUAUAUAUAUAUAGAUUGUGUGUGUGGUAUGGGGAGGGUGGUGGUGGGGUUCUUCCCAAAACCCCAAAUCUCUCUCUCUCUUUUCAAUACUUAGGCAGGAAAAAAUGUUGGUUGCAGUUCAUUUCUGGCUAUGCACAUGUACCAAAAGUGCACAGCUUUGCAAAUUCCCUUUGUGUAUUACCACUUGAAUGGCAAUAACUGGGCUAUCCAGCCGCUCCUGCAUGUCUCUAGGGAAGGACCUGAUCUGCACUGUGCAGGGCAAAGCAGGUACAGAAAUCUUUAGGCUGUAAUGAACUAAAGCCUAAAGCCUAUUGGGGCCUUUUACAACCAGAAGCCCAAAUCAGUUCAGAAUCCCAAAUCUAUUGCUGAAAUUUGUAUUUUCCUCGAGCUGUGACAGUAACCCAACUUAAGUGGGUGACAGAGCAGGAGAGAAUCUGACAGCAGAGAGAUGUAUUUGAUCAACCCUUGAACACAACUUGCUCCCCUAGCUUUGCACCAUGGAAGAAGUCAGGAGCCUGUGGUGAGUGCCCCCGCUACCCGACAAACACCUAGUCUAACAUAUUGGGAUGGAAAGCUUACUGCACAGUAUGGGACUCCUAUCCUUCAAAGUCCUGACUCAGGCUCAAAAGUCAUCAUUAAUUUUCUGAAUCCAGGUGAAUGUAUAUGAUAUUCUUUGCAGGGAAACCCUUCUCAUAUCCAUACCAGUAUCUAUCACUCAUAGCUUGCCCGAAUGGUGUAGUUAUAAACCAUGUAGUUUAUCACCAGAAGGGGUGUUUAGUCUAGGCUUUUUGCACCUUAUAGUCUUUUGGGGGAUUCAUACACAACAUGGUCAUACAUCCAUUUUAGACUGUGAGCCUUUUGGGGACAGAGAACUAUAUUUAUUUUUCUAUGAAAAUUGCUCUCUUUGUUGGA